UAUGUCAUUGACGAUGAUUCAAAGUUUGGAUAAAAAAUAAUCAAACAAUACGUUUUGUGGUCAUAUUUAUUACAGUUUUAGACAGUUUUAUCCACCAGCAAGCUGUAAACAUUAUAAACGUAAAUACAAAAAACUUUUGAAGGACCUAUAUUGAUGCUAAAAGUUUCAAUAUGGUUGUUAUAUUAUGAUAUUUUACAUGUAAUUGUUAUUUGUUUUACUUUUUAUUACAGCUUAAAUUAAAUCAUAAGACUUUUUAUAUUUGAUUAUUUGAUAGUCCCAUAUAAGGACCACCUCCUUUUCUGACUGCUACCAGGCUAAGCAAUCUUCCUUGUGUUUUUAACGAUAUUUAUACAUGUUUGUAAAUUGAUUUUUUUUUUUCCUUUCUUUCUGUGUUCAACUUUGUUAAUAAUUUUAAUUGUGUGGUACUUGGUAUACUGUUUUAUUUUACCCGUAUAUUCGUUCAUUGCUUGGCAAAAUAAAUUGAAUUGAAUUGAAUUGAACACUAUAUUUAAUUGCGGUGACUUUUCGGUUACGAGCAGAUGGUCAAAGCAGGCUUUGAUAUUCUAUAAAACUAGAAGCUAUCUAGACAGUACUUCAACAGAAAGCUGGAUAAAGACACUUCGUCACAUCUACGAGAAAUUAUAUCAUCAUCUCACCGAAGUCUACUCGAACACCGCAUCGAAAGCAGACUUUGAAAAUGGCGUCAAAAACCAUGAUUACUCUCUACUUUCUGAUUGCCUUGGCCGUGGCAGCAAGUGCGUUGAAUGUCGAAGAGAACAGACCCGGCAAGAGAAGCAUCAAGGAAGAUGAGAUCGACAUUUCUAAUGCGUUGAAUGUCGAGGAAAAUGACAGAAAGAGCGAUUGUAAAAACGUCGGUGGAUUAAUAGCGAAAAGACUAGGUUGUGAUGGGUAAGAGUAGCAUUGAGAAGUUCGAGAAGCAUACUAGCUGGAUCUUUUCCAUGUGGUCAGACGUCUUCUCUGUUUGUUGAGACUUUUGUCAACUUGAUGCGAGAAAAAAAAAACCAUCGGUGAUCAGUCAUCACUGACGUUAACAUUAGCCCAACCAAUUCAUAAUUUUGCCUCUAAAAUAUAUAAAUACAAUUUGAAUCUCGUUUCAAAUGUAAAGUA